GGGGGGGUGGUUCAGUGGUAGAAUUCUCGCCUUUUAUGCAGAAGACCUGGGUUCAAUUCCCAGCCAACGCA
rnacentral:tRNA from 1 species